GACGAACGCUGGCGGCGUGCUUAACACAUGCAAGUCGAACGGAAAGGCCCUGCUUUUGUGGGGUGCUCGAGUGGCGAACGGGUGAGUAACACGUGAGUAACCUGCCCUUGACUUUGGGAUAACUUCAGGAAACUGGGGCUAAUACCGGAUAGGAGCUCCUGCUGCAUGGUGGGGGUUGGAAAGUUUCGGCGGUUGGGGAUGGACUCGCGGCUUAUCAGCUUGUUGGUGGGGUAGUGGCUUACCAAGGCUUUGACGGGUAGCCGGCCUGAGAGGGUGACCGGGCACAUGAGGACGAGGAUAGGGGGAGGGCAGCUAAGGGAGACCGCAGUGGGGAGGGUUGCGCGAUGGGCGGAAGUCUGAUGCAGCAACGCCGGGUGCGGGAUGACGGCCGUGGGGUGGGAGACCGGUGUCGGCGGUGACGAAGCGGGAGUGACGGUAAUGAGUAAAGAAGCACCGGCUGACUACGUG
rnacentral:rRNA from 1 species